AACGAACGCUGGCGGCAUGCCUAACACAUGCAAGUCGAACGAGACCUUCGGGUCUAGUGGCGCACGGGUGCGUAACGCGUGGGAACCUGCCCUUAGGUUCGGAAUAACUCCCCGAAAUGGGUGCUAAUACCGGAUAAUGUCUUCGGACCAAAGAUUUAUCGCCUUUGGAUGGGCCCGCGUUGGAUUAGCUAGUUGGUAGGGUAAAAGCCUACCAAGGCGACGAUCCAUAGCUGGUCUGAGAGGAUGAUCAGCCACACUGGGACUGAGACACGGCCCAGACUCCUACGGGAAGCAGCAGUGGGGAAUAUUGGACAAUGGGCGAAAGCCUGAUCCAGCAAUGCCGCGUGAGUGAUGAAGGCCUUAGGGUUGUAAAGCUCUUUUACCCGGGAUGAUAAUGACAGUACCGGGAGAAUAAGCUCCGGCUAACUCCGUG
rnacentral:rRNA from 1 species